AAUGUACACACCGCCCGUCGCUAUUACCGAUUGAGUGUAAAGGUGAACCUUCUCGAUGGCGCAAGCCAGAAAUUAAGUAAACCUUUACACUUAGAGGAAAUAACAGUCGUAACAAGGUUUCCGUAGGUGAACCUGCGGA
rnacentral:rRNA from 1 species